GAGGAAGAACGCAAGAACUGCUAACUCAUGCAACCAUGACUAACAGCAUGGCUCCCUU
rnacentral:tRNA from 1 species